rnacentral:rRNA from 1 species
GUGAACCUGCGGAAGGAUCAUUACCGAGUGCGGGCCCUCGUGGCCCAACCUCCCACCCUUGUCUCCAACACCUGUUGCUUCGGCGGGCCCACCGGGGCCACCCGGUCGCCGGGGGACAUCCGUCCCCGGGCCCGCGCCCGCCGAGGCGCUCUGUGAACCCUGAUGAAGAAGGGCUGUCUGAGUGAUAUGAAAAUUGUCAAAACUUCAACAAUGCAUCUCUUGGUUCCGGCAUCGAUGAAGAACGCAGCGAAAUGCGAUAAGUAAUGUGAAUUGCAGAAUUCCGGAAUCAUCGAAUCUUUGAACGCACAUUGCGCCCCCUGGCAUUCCGGGGCAUGCCUGUCCGAGCGUCAUUUCUGCCCUCAAGCACGGCUUGUGUGUUGGGUGUGGUCCCCCUGGGGACCUGCCCGAAAGGCAGCGGCGACGUCCGUCUGGUCCUCGAGCGUAUGGGGCUCUGUCACUCGCUCGGGAAGGACCUGCGGGGGUUGGUCACCACCACAUCUUUUUACAAGGUUGACCUCGGAUCAGGUAGGAGUUACCCGCUGAACUUAA